CCUACGGGGGGCAGCAGUGAGGAAUAUUGGUCAAUGGGCUUACGCCUGAACCAGCCAAGUCGCGUGAGGGAAGACUGCCCUAUGGGUUGUAAACCUCUUUUGUCAGGGAGCAAUUGGCGCUACGUGUAGCGUUAUCGAGAGUACCUGAAGAAAAAGCAUCGGCUAACUCCGUGCCAGCAGCCGCGGUAAUACGGAGGGGGCAAGCGUUAUCCGGAUUUACUGGGUGUAAAGGGAGCGUAGACGGCUGGGCAAGUCUGAGGUGAAAGCCCGUGGCUCAACGGCGGAACUGCUUUGGAAACUGUAUAGCUUGAGUACUGGAGAGGCAGGCGGAAUUCCUGGUGUAGCGGUGAAAUGCGUAGAGAUUAGGAGGAACACCAGUGGCGAAGGCGGCCUGCUGGACUGCAACUGACGUUGAGGCCCGAAAGCGUGGGGAGCAAACAGGAUUAGAUACCCCAGUAGUC
rnacentral:rRNA from 1 species